UACAGAGGUCUCAAGCGUUGUUCGGAUUCAUUGGGCGUAAAGGGUGCGUAGGCGGCGCGGUAAGUCGGGUGUGAAAUCUUGGAGCUUAACUCCGAAACUGCAUUCGAUACUGCCGUGCUUGAGGACUGGAGAGGAGACUGGAAUUUACGGUGUAGCGGUGAAAUGCGUAGAUAUUGGGAGGAACACCAGUGGCGAAGGCGGCUCACUGGACCGGUACUGACGCUGAUGCGCGAAAAGCGUGGGGAGCAAACGGGG
rnacentral:rRNA from 1 species